rnacentral:misc_RNA from 1 species
GAUAGAUUUCAAAAUCCCAGAUCUCACCUUCUCGUCCCUUCUCCUCAAGGAGCCAACAAACAGACAGUGAAAUAUUAAAAAGAAAAAAGAUGCAGCAGAUGACAGUAAAUGUAAAUUGCCUACAAACAUUACCUAGUAAAUGCCCCUCACUAUUAUUCAAUAUAUAUUUUUGCAUCCCAAAAUCUGUAAGAAUUUUUUUGUGUUUGGUUCUUUCUGGUCAACAAGCACUUGUAGUCCUACAGUAGGUAUAGAGUGGAAU